AGGAGCCAAUCCGGGCUUAGUCCUCCCAGUCCUUGUUCUGGUUGGUCAAUGCAGCCUGUCACGUGUUGUUUCUUCCUGUACCACUUGCUGGUACCGACUUCCGCCCUUCCUUUCAAACGGUUCUGGAGGCAAGUCGGGUGGAUCGUCCUCUUGUCCUGGGAUCUCAGCUUCUCAUCGCCUUCUAAUCCAUUUCCAGACCUUGAAAUUUCUUUUUCGCGUUUAGAUUUGGCUUCCCCCCUCCCAAAGGGGAGGCACUGGGAUCAAUUCUGGAUCAGUCUUCUGCCACCUUCUUCUGAAUCGUCAGGAAUCUGCUCCUCAAAAUACGCCGGUAUGCUUAGGAACAUUGCUGGGAAGGAGUUUGAAUUAACCAAGACUGAUGUGGUGUAUCAAGGAUAAUAAUCUUCAUUGUGGCAACCCCUAACCACUCUCCCUCCUUUACCUGAGCUUACGGAGGCACUCUAAAAAUUGACAGACUGCCGGCACUUUUGCUCUUUCCCAAAACUUGAAGUAUUUCCUUUCCUAGAUGAUUGCUCCAGUGGCCAAGCUGGCCACCAGAUGUCAGGACUACUUGUAAUGAACUGAGCCCAGCUCCUUUCACACCUAAAAAAAUCUCUAAUUUCACUUCUAAGCUACUCUGGAAAGAGUUAAAGAGAGAAGGAUCCAAGGAGAAAAACGAUUGAAUGUACCUAGUAAUGGGCAGCACAGUAAGCUACGAUGAGGUGCUGUGGCCUAGUGUGCUCAGAAGUUGUUAGAUUUGUGAGCACACUAAGCUACUCUAGAAGUAAUGCUAUGCUCUCCCAGUUGCUCCCACUUAUCACUGUCAAACUCAUUUAUUCAAGACCGGGGGAGAGGUUCCCUUGUGAUACACAAACAUACAGACAGCCCCAUCCCAAAUAUGUUGCUUAUACAUGUUGCCACAUUUCCAAAGACCAGUUGCAAUGGGACCGUUGGUCCUACAUCUCUUCCCCAGUGUUGAUCUGAAGCUACCUGUUUGUGUGCAUGUGUAAGUGUCCGUUGUAUUGUGUGGAGUUACAGUUGUCGAAUAGUUGAGUUGAAAGGGACCCUGAGGGUCAUUGAGUCCAAAUCAUCUGCCAACGUCUGGAAUCCAGAAGUAAAGCACUGCUGAUGGAUGGUCCUCCAGCUUCGGUCUGAACAUCUCUGGUGAGGUAUUCUGAUCCACCUCGUAUAUUCCUCUUGGGGUUUGGCUUCCACACCAUUGAUCAUGCUGGUUCCCCUCCUAGGGAUAUGUCCAAAUGUCUCCAUCUGUUUUGAAAUCUCUGACAUCCCAAAGUGGACACUGGACAUCAGGCAGUAUCUGACUGAAGCAGAAAUUGUAUGAUACUUCUAUGGAUGUAGGCUACGAUUGAAGUUCCUGUUCCAUCCCAUAACUGACUCCUUGUUUAUCUUAUAUGGACUGCUAAGCCCCCCCUCUCGCCAACCCUUUUCACACAUAUUGCUAUGAAGCCAGUUGUCAUCCACCUUAUAAUUAUACAUCUGUUUUUUUUCUGCCUAAAUGCUGAACUCUGCAUUUUCCUAUGCUAAAACCUUUUUUGUAUGUUGUCCUGCAAAUAUUGCACCUUUUAUGGCAGUUUUAAAUCCUAAGUUCACUCUUCUUCAUGCUUUGCUAUCCUUUGCAGUUUGACAUCAUCUGUGAAUUUGAUGUUGUUAUUUCUCAAAGAGUGGGGGGCUCAUCGGGUGGGAUAAAAAAUAAAUUGGGGGAAAAAAAGAAGUAAGAAGUUGGGAAUCCUUAAGGACUUAAAAUGGUAAGGACUUUUAAUGGUUCAGUUUAGCGUGUUCUAACAUAAACUAAGCAAGUUAUGCCAUAGUGUUUCUUCCAUAUUGAUCCUGAGGUGUGGCCAUUUGAGAGGUUAGAUUGUUAGUUCCUGCAGAAUAGUGGAUAUCCAAAGGGAGGAUAUGGCUGCUGCCGCCCGUUUCAUUGCAUUUGUGCUUAGCCCUGGCCACACUCUGCAAACCUACACACCUCCCUUCUGCUACUCCUGUGUCAGUGGUGGUGGGCACAAAUGACUGGCCACCCUGCUGGCCACAGACGUGGCACUGCUCAAAACCAGAAAUCCUGCCCCACGGGGUCUGCAUGCCAGUCCCAGGCUUCUCCUCUGCCUCCAGCCCACCCACCAGGUCAUGGUGGUGUCACCACAUACUCCUACAUGAUUUUUCUACUCAUUGUCUCUUGAAUGAUCAGCUGUAACAAUCUGAUUUUCUAAUUUUUCCAUAUUUUCUGAAUUCUUGGACCUUAUUCCUUCAUUUUAAGACUGCUUAAUAGGACACUGUUUAAAUUUUUAAAAGCUUUAUUUUUAUUUUAACCACACAAACACACACACAUUAUUUUCCCCUUAUACAACACUUUUUUGUACCAAGCAGAGGGGCCGCUGAUCUUGUCCAUUUCUCAUAAGAGCUUUUGCUGCCGUCCUAGAUGCACUUCCCUGCAUGCCAGUCCCGGGCUUCUCGUCUGCCUCCAGCCCACCCACCAGGUCAUGGUGCCAUCACCACAUGCUCCUACAUGCCUUUUCCAUUCACUGUCAUCUUGAAUGACCGGCUGUAACAAUCUGAUAGUCUACCUUUUCCGCAUUUUCUGAAUUUUUAGACCUUAAUCAUUCAUUUAAAGACUGUUUAAUAGGAGACUGCUUACAUUUUAAAAAGUUUUAUUUUUUAUUUUAUCCACACAAACACACACACUUUAUUUUC